ACGGAAGGCAGCAGUGGGGAAUAUUGGGCAAUGGGCGAAAGCCUGACCCAGCAACGCCGCGUGAGGGAAGAAGGUUUUCGGAUUGUAAACCUCUGUCCUUGGUGACGAAGGAAGUGACGGUAGCCAAGGAGGAAGCCCCGGCUAACUACGUGCCAGCAGCCGCGGUAAUACGUAGGGGGCGAGCGUUGUCCGGAAUGACUGGGCGUAAAGGGCGCGUAGGUGGCUUUUUAAGUUAGAAGUGAAAGUCCUGCUUUUAAGGUGGGAAUUGCUUUUAAUACUGGAGAGCUUGAGUGCAGAAGAGGUAAGCGGAAUUCCCAGUGUAGCGGUGAAAUGCGUAGAGAUUGGGAAGAACACCAGUGGCGAAGGCGGCUUACUGGGCUGUAACUGACACUGAGGCGCGAAAGCGUGGGGAGCAAACAGGAUUAGAUACCCUGGUA
rnacentral:rRNA from 1 species